ACGGGCCGUCGUGAUGGUUCGACCUCCUUUUCAGCACGUACACCUCGUCUCGCACAUCGGUUUUCUCGGUCUGAGCAGAGAAGUCUUACGUGCCACAAAACAAGGUAGAAGAAGAUGGAGACGCAAACGGUUUUGACCAACAGAUUGCUAUUCAUUUCAAUCUUGCAAUUGAGGAUUGAGCCUCGAGAA